GUUGUAUGGUUAAGUGACUAAGCGUACACGGUGGAUGCCUUGGCAGUCAGAGGCGAUGAAAGACGUAGUAACUUGCGAUAAGCCCAGAUUAGGUAGUAACAACCAUUUGAGUCUGGGAUUUCUGAAUGGGGAAACCCACUUACAUAAGUAAGUAUCAUUAACUGAAUACAUAGGUUAAUGAGGCGAACCGGGGGAACUGAAACAUCUAAGUACCCCGAGGAAAAGAAAUCAACCGAGAUUCCGAAAGUAGCGGCGAGCGAAAUUGGACUAGCCCUUAAGCUUUACACGCGUUAGACGAACGGUCUGGAAAGUCCGACGAUACAGGGUGAUAGUCCCGUAGUUGACGACGUGUGUUCAGUGAAAUCGAGUAGGGCGGGACACGUGAUAUCCUGUCUGAAUAUGGGGGGACCAU
rnacentral:rRNA from 1 species